CCGCCUCUGAGUUCCUAAUUUCCCAUUGGGCAUCAGUGACCACCUUCAAUUGGCAAGGUCAACUAUCCAUCAAACACCGCCCACUGAGUAAGACCCAACCCUUCAGUACCAUUUACUUCAUUCAGCACCGCCUCUGCCAUACCUCCCGGACGUAAGGGACCAACCCACCGUACCAGUCAUAAGUAGAGACCGACGUCAAUCAAAUAACGCCCACCUGCGCUCCUCCUCGCAAAGCACGAACUCUAGAGAUUCUCUUUUCUUAUUGGUCCAAAGGGUGGCCCGAGCCCUCAGUCAUUGGCUUCCUCUACCUGUCUGUCACUGAAGCAAUUUCCAAGUCCGUCACACCGGCUUUUUUUAAAUGAACGCGCAAAAGGCGGGGAAGUUUGUAUCCGAAAAGUGAUUGGCUAGUCUUCGAAACGGUCAAACCCAGGGCGUCUGUGCGGAUCUUUCUCGUUCUGCGAGGACCGUGACCCUUUAUUUUUGACCUCUAAGCCUGGCGUCAAACAAGCGCCAUAAAGGAGCCAACGGGCUGUCCAGUUAUAGGUGUGGGGGCCUAGUCCCACCCGGAAUUGCAGGGGGUUGGCUGCUGAAUGGCUAACAAAGUCCUGGUAGUCCUUCUAUUGGAGGAUAUAAACGCCUCUCUUCUGCACGGAGACGGGAAAGGAUGGCGCAGGCGAGGACAAGAAGCGGUCUGGGGAGAGGCGGUUGUUUUGCUUCAGCCUGAGGGUGGGGCGCACGCGGGAGAGGGAAACUCGGAGGGCAGGGCUCUGGGGGAGGUGUUGUGGGGAGGGGAAAAACCCGGAUGUUCUCUAACAAUGAAAUCAUCGCCGACCAAUCAGAGCUGCUGCGCGGGAUACCUGCUUGACCUGUCCCCAGAAGCGACGAGAAUGAAUGAAAAUAAACUCAAGCAGAGACAAAACCAAGAAGACUUUGCAGACACCAGUAGGUCUUCAAUGCACCCAGCUGUCUCUUCCCCAAGCUGUUAAAGACCUUAGGCUCUGAGACACUAGGGCUUUACAGCUUUCUAACUUCCAUUAAAAUCAAGUGGAUUCAAUGCCAUGAAAAGUA
rnacentral:lncRNA from 1 species